CCUGCUUCCCAUUUUUGUGUUAGCGAAUAGUACGAAAAUAGUUUCCCAGGGCUCUUUACAAAGCUUUCCAAGUGUUUUUAUGUUGCUGCCCCGAGGUUUUUUUGUUUGAUUUCAUCGGGACCAAGGAAGGGUACGUGAGUUGGGGAGAGGUUUAACUUCAUAAAUUAACCUUGGCCUUUGGAAGUCGAAGUUCCGGGUGUCCUGUAGCCGCCAGACGCCUGGUACAGCCGGUCUUGUCCCAGCCUGGUGCCUUUUGAAGCAAUUCGUGAGCUUUGGUAAACCCGGUCCCCUAAAAACGACAGGAAGAAAUGGCCAGAGACAAACUCGUGACUGAAGGAAUUCGUUGCAGAACUUAAACUCCUGUGUCUUCAGGCCUCCUUUCUCCCGGUGUGCUAAGAAGUAAAGCUGCUUUGUGUGCGGUUUGGUGCCAGGGAUGAGCUCAGGGCCUUGAGCACGUACAGCUUGCGGUCUAGCGCGGACCUACACCUCCAGCCCAUAAUGUAUUUUUUAUAGAUCAUCGAUUACAUGAUAUUUUUCAUCUGUUGAAAAGGAUAAUUUGUUAAUGCCAACAUAAAUAGCAAUUUCUGAAA